UGAUUUACGUGACCAAUUUCUCCUGACAAGCGCCCACCACUACUGCCCAGCUAAUUUUUGUGUUUUUAGUAGAGACGGGGUUUCACCAUGUUGGCCAGGCUGGUCUUGAACUCCUGACUUCAAAUGAUCCACCUGCCUCAGCCUCCCAAAGUGCUGGGACUAUAGGCAUGAGCCACCGCACCUGGCCAAUUUUUCAAAUAUUUUUUGUAGAGACAGGGUCUCACUAUGUGGCCCAGGAUAGUCUCAAACUCCUUGUUUCAAGU
rnacentral:lncRNA from 1 species